AGCAGUCGCCGCGGUAAGACAGAGGAUGCAAGCGUUAUCCGGAAUGAUUGGGCGUAAAGGGCUCGCAGGCGGUUUCUUAAGUCUGAUGUGAAAGCCCCCGGCUCAACCGGGGAGGGUCAUUGGAAACUGGGAAACUUGAGUGCAGAAGAGGAGAGUGGAAUUCCACGUGUAGCGGUGAAAUGCGUAGAGAUGUGGAGGAACACCAGUGGCGAAGGCGACUCUCUGGUCUGUAACUGACGCUGAGGAGCGAAAGCGUGGGGAGCGAACAGGAUUAGAUACCCCCGUAGUCCCUGUCUCUUAUAA
rnacentral:rRNA from 1 species